rnacentral:rRNA from 1 species
GUCGAGGAUCUUUAGCAAUGGGCGAAAGCCUGACUAUGCGACGCCGCGUGAGGGAUGAAGGCCUUCGGGUCGUAAACCUCUUUCGAUGGGAAAGAAGUGCCGAGCAAUCGGCAUUGACGGUACCCAGAGAAGAAGCCACGGCCAACUCCGUGCCAGCAGCCGCGGUAAUACGGAGGUGGCGAGCGUUACUCGGAUUCAUUGGGUGUAAAGGGCAGGUAGGUGGCUAUGUAAGUUGAGGGUGAAAUCCUUUGGCUCAACCAAAGAACUGCCUUCAAAACUACAUAGCUUGAGGUUGGAAGAGGAGAACGGAAUUCCCGGUGUAGGAGUGAAAUCUGUAGAUAUCGGGAGGAACACCAGCGGCGAAGGCGGUUCUCUGGUCCAAAUCUGACACUCAACUGCGAAAGCUAGGGGAGCAAACAGGAUUAGAAACCCGGGUAGUCC